rnacentral:rRNA from 1 species
UCCGUAGGUGAACCUGCGGAAGGAUCAUUACAAAUCUAGAGUUUAUGGAUGUAUACAAGGUGUGUAUCCAUGAACACAUGUGCCCAGAUUAAGAAGUAGAAUAGGAAAAGCUUAUGAUGAUUAAUCAGGAGCAGCAAAUCCAUCAUUCUCUAAUCUGCGACAUACACGCUUGUUGUGUUUGACAGAGUUUACGUUAUUAUUACAAAAAGACAACUUUUAACAAUGGAUCUCUUGGCUCUUGCAACGAUGAAGAACGCAGUAAAGUGCGAUAUGUAAUGCGAUUUGCAUGUAUCUGUGAGUCAUCUAAUCUUUGAACGCAACUUGCACCCAUUCGUGGGUAUGUCUGUUUGAGUACCGCAAUCAUUAUAUUCAGCAAUGGAUGAAAUGAGGCAUAUCUUUUCGAUUUGCAACGAAAUACUUGAACUUGUAGAAUUUCUGCAUGUAUCGAGAAACAAUGUAAAUAUGUUCAGAUUGCCUUUAAAUAAAGCAAGCGGGCAAUUAUUGCUAGCCGUCAUGUGCUAGAGACUCUUGUCUUGUCAUGACUGGUGUGCAAUGAACCCAGUGGUGUAUUCUUUUGUAUUUAGGAUUUCAUUGGCAAACACCAACGUUCAACCUAUAUAUAAUGCAACAUCCAACACCACAACUUUGUUUUUGGUCUCAAAUCAGUCAAGACUACCCGCUGAACUUAAGCAUAUCAGUAAGCGGAGGAAAAGAAACUAACAAGGAUUCCCCUAGUAACGGCGAGUGAAGCGGGAACAGCUCAAAUUUGUAAUCUCGGCGGAUUCCGUCGCGAAUUGUAAGCUAAAGAGGGUGAUCUGAGGUUGUGUUGAGGGGACAAAGUUCCUUGGAAUAGGACGCCAGAGAGGGUGAGAGCCCCGUGACGUCGCUUCACGCAACUGCAGGAGAGCCUUUCAAAGAGUCGAGUUGUUUGGGACUGCAGCUCAAAAUGGGUGGUAAAUCUCAUCCAAGGCUAAAUAUUGGCAAGAGACCGAUAGCGAACAAGUACCGUGAGGGAAAGAUGAAAAGCACAUUGAAAAGGGAGUUAAAUAGUACGUGAAAUUGUUAAAAGGGAAACGCUUGAAGU